UCUGGUUGAUCCUGCCAGUAGUCAUAUGCUUGUCUCAAAGAUUAAGCCAUGCAUGUCUAAGUAUAAAUAGUAUACAGUGAAACUGCGAAUGGCUCAUUAAAACAGUUAUAGUUUAUUUGAUAAUUGGCAAUUACAUGGAUAACCGUGGUAAUUCUAGAGCUAAUACAUGCUUAAACGCCCGACUUUAUGGAAGGGUUGUAUUUAUUAGACUGAAGCCAAUAUUCCUUGUGUCUAUUGCGGUGAUUCAUAAUAACUGAUCGAAUCUCUUUUUGAGAUAAAUCAUUCAAGUUUCUGCCCUAUCAGCUUUCGAUGGUAGUGUAUUGGACUACCAUGGCAGUAACGGGUAACGGAGAAUUAGGGUUCGAUUUCGGAGAGGGAGCAUGAGAAACGGCUACCACAUCUAAGGAAGGCAGCAGGCGCGUAAAUUACCCAAUCCUGACUCAGGGAGGUAGUGACAAGAAAUAGCAAACCGGGAACCUCAUGGUUUCACGGUAUUGCAAUGAGAACAAUUUAAAACCCUUAGCGAGAAUCAAGUGGAGGACAAGUCUGGUGCCAGCACCCGCGGUAAUUCCAGCUCCACUAGCGUAUAUUAAAGUUGUUGCAGUUAAAAAGCUCGUGGUUGAACCUCUGUCUGGGGCUAGUUUUGGCUUUGGUCAGGCUAGUUCUAGGUAUCCGCCUACAAGACUUAGAGGGCAUUCAGUUGUUCACUAGGAGGAGUAGGCAUUUUACUUUGAAAAAAUUAGAGUGUUUAAGGCAGGCAAUCGCCCGCAUAUAUUAGCAUGGAAUAAUAGAAUAGGACACUUUUCCAUUUCGUUGGUUACUGGAAUCGUGUAAUGAUUAAUAGGGACAGUUGUGGGCAUUUGUAUUUAAUUGUCAGAGGUGAAAUUCUUGGAUUUAUUAAAGACAAACUAACGCGAAAGCAUUUGCCAAGGAUGUUUUCAUUAAUCAAGAACGAAAGUUAGGGGAUCAAAGACGAUCAGAUACCGUCCUAGUCUUAACUAUAAACUAUUCCGACUCAAUGUUUGACUGGCUUAUAUAACCAGUUGAGCGUUGUAUGAGAAAUCAAAGUCUUUAGGUUCUGGGGGGAGUAUGGUUGCAAAGCUGAAACUUAAAGGAAUUGACGGAAGAGCACAACCAGGAGUGGAUUCUGCGGCUUAAUUUGACUCAACACGGGGAAACUUACCAGGUUAAAACAAUAGUGGGAUUGACAGUUUGAGAGCGCUUUCUUGAUUGGUUGGGUGGUGGUGCAUGGCCGUUCUUAGUUGGUGGAGUGAUUUGUCUGCUUAAUUGCGUUAACGAACGAGACCUUAACCUGCUUACUAGACU
rnacentral:rRNA from 1 species